AUGAACGCUGGCGGCGUGCCUAAUACCUGCAAGUCGAGCGAACAGACGAGGAGCUUGCUCCUCUGACGUCAGCGGCGGACGGGUGAGUAACACGUGGAUAACCUACCUAUAAGACUGGGAUAACUUCGGGAAACCGGAGCUAAUACCGGAUAAUAUAUUGCACCGCAUGGUUCAAUAGUGAAAGACGGUUUUGCUGUCACUUAUAGAUGGAUCCGCGCCGCAUUAGCUAGUUGGUAAGGUAACGGCUUACCAAGGCAACGAUGCGUAGCCGACCUGAGAGGGUGAUCGGCCACACUGGAACUGAGACACGGUCCAGACUCCUACGGGAGGCAGCAGUAGGGAAUCUUACGCAAUGGGCGAAAGCCUGACGGAGCAACGCCGCGGGAGUGAUGAAGGUCUUCGGAUCGUAAAACUCUGUUAUUAGGGAAGAACAAAUGUGUAAGUAACUAUGCACGUCUUGACGGUACCUAAUCAGAAAGCCACGGCUAACUACGUG
rnacentral:rRNA from 1 species